rnacentral:rRNA from 1 species
AACGAACGCUGGCGGCAGGCUUAACACAUGCAAGUCGAGCGCCCCGCAAGGGGAGCGGCAGACGGGUGAGUAACGCGUGGGAACGUACCAUUUGCUACGGAAUAACUCAGGGAAACUUGUGCUAAUACCGUAUGAGCCCGAAAGGGGAAACGAUUUAUCGGCAAAUGAUCGGCCCGCGUUGGAUUAGCUAGUUGGUGGGGUAAAGGCCUACCAAGGCGACGAUCCAUAGCUGGUCUGAGAGGAUGAUCAGCCACACUGGGACUGAGACACGGCCCAGACUCCUACGGGAGGCAGCAGUGGGGAAUAUUGGACAAUGGGCGCAAGCCUGAUCCAGCCAUGCCGCGUGAGUGAUGAAGGCCCUAGGGUUGUAAAGCUCUUUCACC